AGAGCGAACGCUGGCGGCAGGCCUAAUACAUGCAAGUCGAACGGAUCCUUCGGGAUUAGUGGCGGACGGGUGAGUAACACGUGGGAACGUGCCCUUUGGUUCGGAACAACUCAGGGAAACUUGAGCUAAUACCGAAUGUGCCCUUCGGGGGAAAGAUUUAUCGCCAUUGGAGCGGCCCGCGUCUGAUUAGCUAGUUGGUAGGGUAAAGGCCUACCAAGGCUACGAUCAGUAGCUGGUCUGAGAGGAUGAUCAGCCACACUGGGACUGAGACACGGCCCAGACUCCUACGGGAGGCAGCAGUAGGGAAUCUUGCGCAAUGGGCGAAAGCCUGACGCAGCCAUGCCGCGUGGGGGAUGAAGGCCUUCGGGUUGUAAACCCCUUUCAGCAGGGACGAAGCGCAAGUGACGGUACCUGCAGAAGAAGCGCCGGCUAACUACGCGCCAGCAGCCGC
rnacentral:rRNA from 1 species